GGACAAGCAUUUAACACAUGGGGCCUUUGGGGAACAUUCUAGACCCAAACUAUGGUGAAGACUUUCCAUUUUUAGGAUGGUGACAUCUGCCCCCUGUUGUACCUGUCGUAUGGAGCUUUUCUGAGUGAGUUCAAUUAAACAGUGCCAUCUGCUCCAGAUGCACUUUGCUUCAUGGAUUCCUUAUACAAGGCCUCAUUUGAAAACUCACAAUGAAUGUGUACAGGUAUCAGCGAAGCUAAGAUGACCCUUUGGAACGAAAGAGGCAUUCUCCUACAGCAGUGGGACCGUAGACCAUAGGACGGUGCCACCAACAUUCAAGAUGGAUCUUCCCUUUUCAGUAAAGGCUGUCUGGGAAUACCUUCCAGGGAUGUGUUUCCAUGGGGAUUCUAAAUUCAAUCGUUAACAAUGAAGAUUAG